rnacentral:rRNA from 1 species
AUUGAACGCUGGCGGCAUGCCUUACACAUGCAAGUCGAACGGUAACAGGUCUUCGGAUGCUGACGAGUGGCGAACGGGUGAGUAAUAUAUCGGAACGUGCCCAGUAGUGGGGGAUAGCCCGGCGAAAGCCGGAUUAAUACCGCAUACGACCUGAGGGGGAAAGGGGGGGAUUCGCAAGAACCUCUCGCUAUUGGAGCGGCCGAUAUCAGAUUAGGUAGUUGGUGGGGUAAAGGCCUACCAAGCCUGCGAUCUGUAGUUGGUCUGAGAGGACGACCAGCCACACUGGGACUGAGACACGGCCCAGACUCCUACGGGAGGCGGCAGUGGGGAAUUUUGGACAAUGGGCGCAAGCCUGAUCCAGCAAUGCCGCGUGCAGGAAGAAGGCCUUCGGGUUGUAAACUGCUUUUGUCAGGGAAGAAAUCCUCUGGGUUAAUACCUCGGGGGGAUGACGGUACCUGAAGAAUAAGCACCGGCUAACUACGUGCCAGCAGCCGCCGUAAGAC